AUUGAACGCUGGCGGCAUGCCUUACACAUGCAAGUCGAACGGCAGCACGGGUGCUUGCACCUGGUGGCGAGUGGCGAACGGGUGAGUAAUACAUCGGAACAUGUCCUGUAGUGGGGGAUAGCCCGGCAAAAGCCGGAUUAAUACCGCAUACGAUCUACGGAUGAAAGCGGGGGACCUUCGGGCCUCGCGCUAUCGGGUUGGCCGAUGGCUGAUUAGCUAGUUGGUGGGGUAAAGGCCUACCAAGGCGACGAUCAGUAGCUGGUCUGAGAGGACGACCAGCGACACUGGGACUGAGACACGGCCCAGACUCCUACGGGAGGCAGCAGUGGGGAAUUUUGGACAAUGGGCGAAAGCCUGAUCCAGCAAUGCCGCGUGUGUGAAGAAGGCCUUCGGGUUGUAAAGCACUUUUGUCCGGAAAGAAAUCCUUGGCCCUAAUACGGUCGGGGGAUGACGGUACCGGAAGAAUAAGCACCGGCUAACUACGUG
rnacentral:rRNA from 1 species